rnacentral:rRNA from 1 species
GAUAAACGCUGGCGGCGUGCCUAACACAUGCAAGUCGAACGAUGAAGAUUAAAAGAUUUCCUCGGAAUGAACUUAAUUGGAUUAGUGGCGGACGGGUGAGUAACGCGUGAGUAACCUGCCUUGUACAAGGGGAUAGCCGUCGGAAACGACGAAUAAUACCCUAUGACAUCAAAUAAUCGCAUGAUAAUUUGAUCAAAGAUUUAUCGGUAUAAGAUUGACUCGCGUCUGAUUAGCUAGUUGGUAGAGUAAAAGCCUACCAAGGCAACGAUCAGUAGCCGGCUUUAGAUAGUGUACCGCCCCAUUAGGACUGGGACACGUCCCAAACUCCUACGGGAGGCAGCAGUGGUGAAGUAGCCACAAUGCGGGAAUGCCGAAGGCAUCGACGCCGCAUGAUUUUGAAGGCCUUCAAGUUUUAAAAAUCUUUUGUAUGUUAAGAAAAUGACGGUACCAAACGAGUAAGGACCGGCUAAUUACGUG